rnacentral:rRNA from 1 species
AGUGAACGCUGGCGGUAGGCCUAACACAUGCAAGUCGAACGGCAGCACAGUAAGAGCUUGUUCUUACGGGUGGCGAGUGGCGGACGGGUGAGGAAUACAUCGGAAUCUACUUUUUCGUGGGGGAUAACGUAGGGAAACUUACGCUAAUACCGCAUACGACCUACGGGUGAAAGCAGGGGAUCUUCGGACCUUGCGCGAUUGAAUGAGCCGAUGUCGGAUUAGCUAGUUGGCGGGGUAAAGGCCCACCAAGGCGACGAUCCGUAGCUGGUCUGAGAGGAUGAUCAGCCACACUGGAACUGAGACACGGUCAAGACUCCUACGGGAGGCAGCAGUGGGGAAUAUUGGACAAUGGGCGCAAGCCUGAUCCAGCCAUACCGCGUGGGUGAAGAAGGCCUUCGGGUUGUAAAGCCCUUUUGUUGGGGAAGAAAAGCAGCAGGUUAAUACCCCGCUGUUCUGACGGUACCCAAAGAAUAAGCACCGGCUAACUUCGUG